rnacentral:rRNA from 1 species
AUGACUCCAUGAGCGGGACCACAGCCAUCGCGGCGCUCGUGGCCGGCGGCGCACCUCCACGGGGCUCGGGACGUCCACGGCGGCGCGGGCUGUGCAUCGAGAGGCGGGGCCGGGAGCAUCUCCGCCGCCGCUGCUCCUCUCGCGCUGCGGACAACAUAGAGAUCAGGAAGGAGAGAGGAGGAGACGAGUGGGUGUGGCGGUGGCAGGGAUCCAGGAAGGAGGAGGGAGGAGGAAGAGAGGAAUGGGGUGUGGCGGCUGUGAGAGGGAGGAGGGAGGAGUGUGUGGCUGUGGACGGGGAGCUAGGGUUGGUGCGGUCGUGCCCAAUGGGCUCCUCGC